GACGAACGCUGGCGGCGUGCUUAACACAUGCAAGUCGAGCGGAAAGGCCCUUCGGGGUACUCGAGCGGCGAACGGGUGAGUAACACGUGAGUAACCUGCCCCAGACUUUGGGAUAACCCUCGGAAACGGGGGCUAAUACCGGAUACGACACAGCUUCGCAUGGGGUCUGUGUGGAAAGUUUUUCGGUUUGGGAUGGGCUCGCGGCCUAUCAGCUUGUUGGUGGGGUGAUGGCCUACCAAGGCGACGACGGGUAGCCGGCCUGAGAGGGCGACCGGCCACACUGGGACUGAGACACGGCCCAGACUCCUACGGGAGGCAGCAGUGGGGAAUAUUGCACAAUGGGCGGAAGCCUGAUGCAGCGACGCCGCGUGAGGGAUGACGGCCUUCGGGUUGUAAACCUCUUUCAGCAGGGACGAAGCGUAAGUAACGGUACCUGCAGAAGAAGCGCCGGCCAACUACGUG
rnacentral:rRNA from 1 species